GAGUGUCCUCUGCAGUCACCGUCGCCGUGAAGCAGUCAGAAAAGAGUGUCCUCUGCAGUCACUUUCGCCGUGAAGCAGUCAGGAAAGAGUGUCCUCUGCAGUCACUGUCGCCAAGUGAAAAAAAGACAGAGUGACAUUGCAGGAAAACUGUAAGUUUAUUGGUUGGGAUGAGAGAUUUAUCACUGAACGGAAGUCAAACCUGAGACUUUACAUACAGGCUUCUGUGUCUCGGGAGUGUGGUGAAGAAAGGCCUGGUCCAGGAACAAAAGAUCACAUUCUUCAGGCAUUGGGGAGCUCUAAAAUGAAGGAAAGUUAUACUGAAGGGAUAGUCUUCAGUUGCAUAAAAAUGAUUUCAAAGUACCGUGUAUACUCGUGUAAACGUCAAUCCAUGAUUUUUAGCCUAAAAAUCUGUAAUUUUUCAUAUGCCUCAUGUAAAAGUCAACCUUAGUUUCUCAGUGAUCGAAACCCAAGAAUUUCAGAGUCAAAGUAUAAUCCUGGAGAUAUUAAUAAUUCAAUUUCACUGUAAAAGUAUAAAUACUAAUGAAAAUCCAUUAUAUAUGUUGGAGCAAAUAUAUGAGGUGUGUAAUGUAAUAAAAUGAAUAAAUGUUAGAUAAUUAGUAUGGAUGAAAUGUGUAUAGUUUGUAAUGUUAUGAAAUAAAUAAUUGCUAAUUAAUAUGAA